rnacentral:rRNA from 1 species
GGCGACCACCAUAUCUCUCUUCUCCCUCGCCCCGUUACGCCUCACCCACCGCCGCUUCCUCUCCCCGCCCCCCGGCACGGCCUCACGCUUCCAGUCUCUCGCCUCGAAGGAGGCGGACGCCUCAAUCGUCUCCGGGGCCGGUGGGGCGCGGGGAGCGAGCUGCUCUCGGUGCUCGACCUGGCGCUCACCGUCGAGGAUCACUACUGCCGCCAGCGCGCCCAGGAGCAGCGGAAGGGCAUGGAGGCGGAGGGGUCCGGCAUAGAGGGCAUCUCGGUGGGCGGGCACGAGGCAUGCGUCACUGCGCCGUCCCCAUACUGCGGCAGUGGUCUAUUCAGCAACGAUCUGUACACUGCCUGA